UGGUUCUUUCCUUUGACUCCGCUGGACAAACACUAGGCUCAGAGUAUGAUCGGUUGGGCUUCCUCCUGAAUCUGGACUCUAAACUGCCUGCUGAAUUAGCCACCAAGUACGCAAACUUUUCAGAGGGAGCUUGCAAGCCUGGCUAUGCUUCAGCCUUGAUGACGGCCAUCUUUCCCCGGUUCUCCAAGCCAGCACCCAUGUUCCUGGACGACUCCUUUCGCAAGUGGGCUAGAAUCCGGGAGUUUGUGCCACCUUUUGGGAUCAAAGGUCAAGACAAUCUGAUCAAAGCCAUCUUGUCAGUCACCAAAGAGUACCGCCUGACCCCUGCCUUGGACAGCCUCCGCUGCCGCCGCUGCAUCAUCGUGGGCAAUGGAGGCGUUCUUGCCAACAAGUCUCUGGGGUCACGAAUUGACGACUAUGACAUUGUGGUGAGACUGAAUUCAGCACCAGUGAAAGGCUUUGAGAAGGACGUGGGCAGCAAAACAACACUGCGCAUCACCUACCCCGAGGGCGCCAUGCAGCGGCCUGAGCAGUACGAGCGAGAUUCUCUCUUUGUCCUCGCCGGCUUCAAGUGGCAGGACUUUAAGUGGUUGAAAUACAUCGUCUACAAGGAGAGAGUGCUCUUUCCCAAGCAAGGCCAAGUACAGGCAGUGUCAAGUAGGUAGCAAGCAAGAGAGAAGACAGAAGUCAGGUCCAGAAAUUCAGAGUGCAUCGGAUGGCUUCUGGAAAUCUGUGGCCACUCGAGUGCCCAAGGAGCCCCCUGAGAUUCGAAUCCUCAACCCAUAUUUCAUCCAGGAGGCCGCCUU
rnacentral:sRNA from 1 species